CAGUAGCCGCGGUAACACGUAGGUGGCAAGCGUUGUCCGGAAUUAUUGGGCGUAGAGGGCUCGCAGGCGGUUUCUUAAGUCUGAUGUGAAAGCCCCCGGCUCAACCGGGGAGGGUCAUUGGAAACUGGGAAACUUGAGUGCAGAAGAGGAGAGUGGAAUUCCACGUGUAGCGGUGAAAUGCGUAGAGAUGUGGAGGAACACCAGUGGCGAAGGCGACUCUCUGGUCUGUAACUGACGCUGAGGAGCGAAAGCGUGGGGAGCGAACAGGAUUAGAUACCCCUGUAGUCCCUGUCUCUUAUAC
rnacentral:rRNA from 1 species